AAUCCGAUUGAUAGAUCUUCAGAUAUCAUAGAAAUCCUACCCAAUCUCAAACUGCCACCUUCUAAAACCCUCUUGUGCUAAAAACUAGAUAUCUCUAAACCUCGCCAUUAGAUUAUCACAAAAUUUUGUAUACACUUAUCAUAGCCAAUAAUCCAAAUAAUAUUAAAUUUUUAACUACAGAUGUCAUGUCAAUUACACGAAUUAGUAAAAAUUGCUAGCCCUAAUUAUAUUAUAUAAAACCCAAAUCACUGAUACAAAUCUUAACUUUGAACAACAAUUUCUAAGUCUUCCAAAAUCCUCUCAAAAAAAUUCUUAUGUCUUUGGAAAUAACUUUAAACUAGCUCUCAAAUUCUAACCUUUGAUCUUCAAAUGAAUCCCUAUUUUACCCUAGGCUAUUAUUUUAAAGGCUAGAGGUUUGAUUUCGACCUUGUCUCACAAACGGUCGACCCUCGGAUAACAAUCUAUCCUAUCCUAAGGAUUUUUUAGCCCAACCCUAC
rnacentral:lncRNA from 1 species